rnacentral:rRNA from 1 species
AACGAACGCUGGCGGCAUGGAUUAGGCAUGCAAGUCGAACGGUGAUAGCAAUAUCAUAGUGGCGCAAGGGUGAGGAACGCGUGAGUGAUCUACCCUCAAGUUUGGAAUAGCUCCUGGAAACGGGAAUUAAUACCGGAUGAGAUUGUGAGGCUGCAUGGCUUUACAAUGAAAGCAGCAAUGCGCUUGAGGAGGAGCUCGCGUCCCAUUAGCUAGUUGGUGAGGUAAAGGCCCACCAAGGCGAUGAUGGGUAGCUGGUCUGAGAGGACGACCAGCCACACUGGGACUGAGAACUGCCCAGACUCCUACGGGAGGCUGCAGUCGAGAAUUUUGGGCAAUGGACGAAAGUCUGACCCAGCAAUGCCGCGUGCGGGAUGAAGGUCUUCGGAUUGUAAACCGCUGUCGAGGGGACGAAAUAUGACGGUACCCCUGGAGGAAGCCACGGCUAACUACGUGCCAGCAGCCGCGGU